UUUUCGAAAUUCGGAAAAAGAAAUUUUGAAUUCCAAUUCCAAAAUUUUCCCCCCCAUAGCCUAUUUUCAUCCAUCUAUUGUACCCUUUUUUGUUAUUUCUCAUGAAAUCCAAAAAUGGAGUAGCCAAUAGAAAGCACUUCUUCCCAAGAACCAAUGAGAAAUCUCCACCAACGUACGAAUUCGUACCAUGGUACCCGAGAUUUGUGGGAUUUGAACGUUGGGGUGAGCCAACUCACCCAUUUCUAGAAGCUUUCUUGAAUUUCCAUGGCAAACACAUGCCAUCUAAGCGGGUCGAAGUCGGGUCGACGUUGGUGUUGUUGUUUCGGGUAUGGGAGACGGGUUAACUGGUUGUUGAUAUUGUUGGGUUCUGAAUUUGCAAUGUUGCCAUUGUUUUCGAUCGGAGUGGAGGUGUAAGCGUUGUUCACUGUUUUGGUUGAGAUUAAAAGACUGUCGAUGUUAUUGCUGGUUUGUUUUAUGGUGAUUAUACGCUGAUUAAGGGAAAGUGAGAGGAGGAUUGGACCGAAUCAAGAUCUAUUGGGCUUUAGUAGGUGCAGACGGAUUUGGGCUUGAUACCUUUUUAAUUAAUUAAAAGGGAGUUGCUGACAUGCAAAUUUGGGCCAUCGAUUUGGGCCGUUAAAUUGGUUAAGUUUUGUGGUAUUGGGUAGAUUGUGGGAUUACUUAGAAAAAUAACAUCAAUUUUAAUUCAGUUCAUUCUAUUUAAAUUUUAACCAUAUCAAAAGUCAAUUGGCCAAUUGUAUUGCAAUUAUGACCCAUUUAGUUUCAAUUAUGGUCAAAUUCAAUAGCUUGGCUAAAUUAAAAUAAAUCUCGAUAUAAAUUAAUACCUCUUUUAAUCCCAAGUUUCUUGAUUUAAUAAAAUCAAAAAAAUAUAUAUCCAAAUAAAUUAUUUGAGAAUAAUUUUUUUUUAAAUCAAGACUUUAAUUAUUUAUUUAUUUUUCAAAUAAUCCUUAAUUUAAAGCCCAAGGUGAUGAAAAUGUUCAUUUAAAUGACAUCAUUUAUACAAUCUCGUAUAUGCAAAUACAAAAAUAUAUAAUUAUCACUUAAAUGACAAAAUUAGCCCAAAUACCUAUUUUAAAAUGCAUUUAUUUGGAAAAAUAAUUGUUGUGAUCUUAUUUGAAAAUCAAAGAAGUUUGAGAUUAAAUGUAGUUGUGGAGGGAAAAAAUUAGGUGUCAACAACUGCCCCCUCCCUUUGGAUAGGAUGGAUGCAAGUAAUCCUGGGCAAAGGGAGGUUGACGUUCCUAAUUUUUGUCCGACCAUAAAUUUGUAUCUAAGAGAGGUUGGUUUGCCGCACAAGUUUCAUGGUGUUAUGGCCGAACCUCGGUAUCAGGUUUCCUACAUAUCUCAGGUUUCAUGAGAAUUCAGGCCACUUGUAGUUCAUAAAGCUUGAUUUUCAAGAAAAUACACCAACUAUCAUGGUUUUAGAAUGCUUCGGUUAAAUCAGGAAGCUGGGGAAUAAAGGGAUUUAGGGGGAGAUUGGAAUGCAGUUGAGUUUUCUACAUAGAGCCCAACCCACAUAUCCCCGAGACUCAAGGAAUCAUACUGCUUGUAGUUCGACUUAAUUGGUAGAAAAGAUAGUCUUUUAUUUUAGACGAUCUUUAGCUUGGUAUGAGUGACGAGUUAAUUGAGUUGCGGAAAAGAGGCUUGUAACCUCUUAACCAUGAAUGUGGAGCUCUUCACAUCCAUAGGUAAGAACUUACGUAAGCAUAAUUUCCAAAACUCUAAGUGUGUUGCCACAUGAAUUUGAAAGAAAAAGAAAGUUCCCGUCAGUAUGAGUUAACAAACAUCCCAGAGGUAAAGGUGAGACCAGAAUAUUCGAAAAAUACCCACAUGCCUUCUAAUAGAGGUGUGGUUAAAUGGUGGUAGUGAUCAUUAUUUAGUUCGCGUCUAGAGAGUUUGACAUCCCUCUCCAGACUAUGUCCCGUUUUGCUGCUGAGAAAGAGUUCCACGUUGUGUUGCGUCCUUUUUGGAGUCGUCCACACCUAUGGUUUUGAUUUGAGAUUUUCAUCCUCUCGGAUGCUCUCAACAAUACUUCAGGCAAAAAGUGUUAGUUUUAAACAUAAUUCACAAAAGAGGUAAGUAAUCUUUUACCAUAUCUCCACGUGAGUUGUGGCCUGAAAAAGCAAAGUCAUCCUUUAUUGUACCUGUUUGAUGGGAAAUAACUUGUAAUAAUAGACACAACAACCUCCUUGGUUGUUGUAUAAUUAGCUCAUCUGUCGAGCGAAUAUGUUUUCAAAGUGGGGUGGCCCUUUUGGUUACCUAUAUCACUUGUUGUAUGUGGCAUUAUAACCUCUCCGGUUGUAGCCGAUGAUCGAUUUAUAAAUUUUUCCUAAAUUAGUCAAUCUUUAGAUGUUCUUGCACAUUAUUUGAUGUUGGAUACGAGGCGACUUACAGAUAUCCUUUGAAUUUCUAGCUUUUAGGUAAUCCUACACAUCAUCCGACUUUGGAUAAGAGAUGACUUACAGAUAUCCCUCCAAUCGCUAGCUUUCAGGUGUUCCUGCACAUCAUCCGACCUUGGAUACAAUAUGACUUAUAGAUAAUCCCUCAAAUUGAUCGUCUUUGGGUAAUCCUGCACAUAAUCGAUCUUGGAUAUGACGCGGCUUAUAGAGAACCCUUGGACGUAUCAAUUUGACAAUCUUGCAUAUCCUCCGGUAAGGAUUUAGUUGCGACUUACGGAUAACCUUUGAACUAUCAACUUUUGGGCGAUCUUGCACACUAUUCGAUUAGGAUGUUAUUAUGGCUUACGGAUGACCUACAGGAUAUCAACUCAUAGGUGAUCUUACACACUAUUUUAUUUCAAAUAAUAUGACUUAUAGAUGACCUUCAAAUUGUCAAUUGCUAGGAAAUCUUAUAUAUCAUUCAUCCUUAGAUAGCGACCAGAAGGCGUCCCUCCAAAUCGUGUGCUCUUAUUGUAUUCAGAUGCUGAUUUAUGAAAAGAUGAUGAUAUCCUCGAUGCCAGUGUUGUGUCUUGUAUGUCAAUAGAUAUAUUAAUUACUGAUGAUAUCCUCGAUGCCAGCGUUGUGUCUAGUGUGUCUACUGAUAUAUUGAAUACUGAUGAUAUCCUCAAUGCUGUUGUGUCUAGCGUGUCAAUAGAUAUAUUAGAUGCUGAUGAUAUCCUCUACGCCAGCGUUGUGUCUAGCGUGUUGACAGAUAUAUUAGAUACUGAUGAUAUCCUUGACGCCAGCAUUGUGUCUAGCAUGUCGACAGAUAUAUUGGAUGCUGAUGAUAUCCUCUACGCCAGCUUGUGUCUAGAGUGUCGACAAAUAUUGAAUGCUGAUCAUAUCCUCAACGCCAGCGUUGUGUCUAGCGCAUCAACAGAUAUAUAAUGCUGAUGAUAUCAUUGAUGCCAGCGUUGUGUCUAGCGCGUCAACAGAUAUAUAAUGCUGAUGAUAUCCUCGACGCCAGCGUUGUGUCUAGCAUGCCAACAGAUAUGUAAUGGCCUCUGUGGCAAUGAUAUGUGAUGGCCUUUACGGCAAUGAUAUGCAAUGGCCAUUGUGGCAGUGAUAAAAUCAUUUUACCUGGCUUCAUUUGUCAGUGUCCUACUUUUUACAUGUACCUGUAAUCAAGGUAGACGAUUAGUAGACACAAAGUUGCUUUUACUAGCGACUAUUUUUAGAAAACUUCUAAAUACAAUAUUCAUAAAGAAGACUAGGCGCAUUUGAUUGUCGCCUGUGAUCUCAAAAAAUGAGAUGGAUAAAUCAAAAGGUCCUCUGUUGUGGCUCCCAAUUUGCGCGAGGAUUUUUGAAAGAGACUCUCAUUUUUGUGUAUUGAUCCCUGCAUCCACAGAAAAAUGAUUAUUUUGAAUGAAAUUACUCCAUGUUGAUCUUCUUCGAUCCUCGAUUUGCUCCUUGCUAUCUCUCAGGCAUUCCGUCAUGUUGGGACUUCCACCCUGACACUCCAUCCCAAAUGAUGUAUAGGAAAGUACUAAAUAAGUGAGUCGUAAGAUUUUUGAAAAUAGACUUAAAUUUUUGAAAAUAAUUUUGAAAACUUCUGUAAAACUUUGGAAAAUCUCUACCAGUCAUGUCAUGUACUAGCUCAAGGAACGUCCUCCUCGUGGUUUUGAAUAUAUACGAUGGAUGGUUUCCAAAACUCAUGAUCAUUGUUGGAGGGUUUCUUCAAGUAGUUCUAUCAUAGCCAAAAAUUGAGUCUACCCAGACUUUAUUACAGUUGGUGGCUUCCAAAGCUUUAACCUCUGGUUCUAGGGAAUUUGGAAUAUGUUCCGGCAUUUGGUGGAAAUUUUGAGGUCUUUCUCAACAUUUCUUCCUUAGUUUAAAGUUGUUUGAGAUGAUACCAAUUCUAGUGGAUCUGAAGUCUUUACUGAUCUUCAUUCUCUUUGUUGGAUGUCGAUCUUCUCUGUUGAAUUUUUGAGAUUCCUUCUCUAAAAUUCUGCCCCAGUUUCCAUUUCCUGGGGUUAUAUGACCGAGCUAUUGGGGCACCUACGUAUCCCGUUGAAGCAGGAAUCAGGUCAAACAUAGUUCAGGACUACGCUAGGGAUAUAUAUAAAAAAUCUAAUGGAUUGACCGAAGCCGACAUAGGCCGCCUACCCGCCGACGUAGCCCUUGCUUGGGAAUUCAGGUCAAAUGUAGUUCGUACAUAAAGAGAAAGGAUUCUAGGCAGUUACACACUAGCAAACAACAUUAUUACAAAGGCGAUUACAAACAAACUAAGAAAACAAAAAAACUAGAACGUCAUUCAAACAUAAUAUCUCUUUACCGCAUCAGAAUUGAUUGGUUUGGUCCACUCUGUGCCAUCCAUCUCAGACAAAAUUAGAGCUCCUCCAGAUAGCACAUAGCGAACUAUGUAUGGCCUUUGCCAAUUUGGAGCGAACUUGCCCUUGUACUCCUUUUGGUGAGGGAAUAUUCAUUUGAGAACCAGUUGCCCCACUUCAAAUGCUCGAGUUCUUACCUUCUUGUUAAAGGCACGAACCAUCCUUUGUUGAUACAGCUGACCAUGGCAUACAACGACCAUUAUCUUUUCAUCAAUUAACAUGAAUUGUUCAUAGAGAGCAUGGAUCCAUUCUUCAUUACUCAGUCCAGCGUCCUGAAUAAUCCUUAGGGAAGGUAUUUCGACCUUAGUGGGUAUCACAGCUUCAUUCCCGUAAACUAGUAAAUAGGGAUUUGCUCCUGUGGAGGUUUGAACUAUUUUUCGAUACCCUAGCAAGGCGUAAGGUAACAUCUUGUGCCAUGAUCUAUCAUUUUUGACCAUUUUUCUCAAGAUCUUCUUGAUAUUCUUGUUAAUAGCUUCUAUGGCUCCAUUCAUUUGGGGACAGUACGAUGUCGAGUUAUGAUGCACAAUCUUGAACUGAUCACAAAUUUCUUUUAUUAAGUGACUGUUCAGGUUUGCCCCAUUAUCAGUAAUAAUCCAUUCCGGCACUCCGAAUUGGCAAAUCAAUUUAUUCCUGAUGAAAGCUGCAACUACUUUCUUAGUGACGGCUUUGUACGAAGCAGCUUCAACCCACUUAGUGAAAUAAUUAAUGGCAACCAAAAUAAAUCUAUGCCCAUUCGAUGCUAAUGGCUCUAUUGGUCCAAUGACAUUCAUGCCCCAAGCUACGAAAGGCCAAGGAGAAUUCAUUGCGUGAAGCUCGUAUGGAGGCAUUCGAAUCAGAUCUCCGUGUAUUUGACAUUUUGGACAUCUCUGCACAAACUUACUACAAUCAUUUUCCAUAGUCACCCAGAAGUAACCGGUUCUCAGGAUCUUUCUGCCAAGGACAAACCCAUUCAUGUAGGGCCCACAAACUCCAGCGUGUACCUCGUUUAUCAACUUAUUGGCUUUCGCCGCAUCGAUGCAUCUUAGGAAUCCCAAAUUAGGAGUCCUCCUGAAAAGAAUUUCUCCACUUGGAAAGUAAUUCUUUGCCAAACGCCGGAUUGUCUUCUUUUGGUUGUUACUAGCCUCUUCUCGAUAUAUUCCAAAUUCGAAAUACCUCUUAAUGUCAUAGUACCAAGGCCUUCCAUCAGGCUCCUCUUCCACGUGUAUGCAAUACGCGGGUUGCUCUUUCAGGCUUAUUUUCAAAGGAUCGAUGUAACUCUGAUCUGGGUGUUGAAUCAUGGAAGAUAUCAUGGACAAAGCGUCAGCAAACUCGUUUUGUGUCCGUGGAAUAUGUCUGAAAUCAACAUCCUUGAAUCUUCCACAUAAUUCUUGCACCAGCUUCACAUAAGGAGUAAUCUUGGAGUUUUUUACCGCCCAUUCUCCCAUUACCUGGUGAAUCAACAAAUCUGAAUCUCUAAUGGCUAGCCCGUUUCUGACACCAAAACUACUCCAAUUCCUGAACCUUUGAAGUUGACCUCCCCAUCAAAAAAUAGCCUCCAUCCAGGGUAGAUUUCCAUGAUAUCUUCUCCUACGAACAAAACAUCCUCAUUUGGAAAGUAUGUCCGAAGUGGCUCAUAUUCCUCAUCGACUGGGUUUCAGCCAAAUGAUCUGCUAAAGCUUGCCCCGUGAUUGCUUUUUGGGUUACUAUACACAAUGUCAAACUCACUCAGCAACAUUUGCCACUUGGCUAGCUUUCCUGUAGGCAUGACCUUCUAGAAUAUAUACUUCAAUGGAUCCAUUCUCAAGAUGAGGUAAGUUGUGUAGGACGAUAGAUAAUGCCUCAAUUUUUGUGCCGUCUAAGUCAAAGCACAAUAUGUCCUUUCUAUAAAAGUUUAAUGAGCUUCAUAUGGUGUGAACUUUUUACUCAAGUAGUAAAUGGCUUUCCCUUUCUUGCCGGUCUCAUCAUGUUGCUUGAGGAUGCAUCCAAAAGCAUUUUCUGAGACUGACAGGUAAAGCAAUAAUGGAAUUCCUUCUCUCGGUGGGACCAAAAUUGGUGGUGCAUAUAAGUAUUCCUUGAUGCGAUCAAAAGCUCUCUGACAUUCUUCUGUCCACUCAUUCAGUGCAUUUUUGUUUAACAUCUUGAGAAUUGGCUCGCAUAUGACUGUUGAUUGAGCGAUGAAUCUGCUAAUGUAAUUCAGACGACCCAGGAAACUCAUAGCUUCUUUCUUGGUCCUCCGCGGUGGCAAGUCUUAAAUUGUAUUGAUUUUGGAUGGGUCUAGAUCGAUCCCCCUUUUGCUGACUAUGAACUCCAGCAACUUCCCUUAUGGCACACCAAAAGCACAGUUAGCAGGAUUUAACUUCAAAGUGUACCUUCUUAAUCUGUUGAAGAAUUUCUCCAUAUGAGUUAGAUGAUCUGAACUCUCGCGGGAUUUGAUAAUUACAUCAUCCACGUACACCUCAAUCUCCAUAUGGAUCAUAUCAUGGAAAAUCGUCGUCAUGGCCCUCAUAUAUAUCGCACCUGCGUUCUUAAGACCAAACAACAUUACCCUGUAAUGAUAAACACCCCAGGGCGUAGUAAAAGCCAUUUUUCUGCAUUUUUCUCAUCCAUCAGUAUCUGAUGAUAGCCGGUGAAACAAUCAACGAAUGACUGCAUUUCAUGUUUCACACAGUUAUUGAUGAGAAUGUGGAUGUUGGGCAAUGGAAAAUUAUCUUUAGGACUGGCUUUCAAGUCUCUAUAGUCAACACAAAUUUGAAUCUUGUCGUCCUUCUUUGGCAGAGGGACAAUGUUGGUCAACCAUGUCGGAUAUUUUGUGACCUCAACAACCUUAGACUGGAUUUGUUUUGUCACUUCUUCCUUGAUCUUUAGACUUAAAUCUAACUUGAAAUCUCUCAUUUUUUGCUUGACUGGAUCAAACUCAGAAUUUAUCGGCAAUUUAUGUGACACAAUGCUGGUGCUCAAGCCUGGCAUAUCAUCAUAGGACCAAGCAAACACGUCGAUAUACUCCCGCAACAGGUGGAUGAGCUCUUCCCUUUGUGGCGCCGUGAGGUGGACACUGAUACUGGUCUCUUUGAUUUCAUCGUGAUCUCCCAAGUUGACUGUUGCAGUUUCUUCCAGAUUGGGUUUUUCGUGAUUUUCAAAUUCCUCCAUAUCUUCAACUAACCGUUCCUCGUCAUCGUUGAUAACGCUCAAUCUACAGCUCUCGUGGGAGUGUAAAGCGGUCGUUAGCAAAUAUAGAACCCAACCUGGGUUGGGUAUCGAUCCCACAGAGAAUAGCUUGGCCAACAAGCAAGAGAAAUUACUAGACUUUUAGUGCAAGUCUCGUAGGAAAGGGGGGAUUGUAGUAUGUAACCAAAACAAGAAGGUAAGAACUGAAAAUAGCAAAAUAAAGAGAGAUUGUCACGUGUGUUGUAAACAAUGAGAAUUGAGGCGUUGGGGUUAUGUCCACCUUCUGAGGUAUACGUCUCUAUUGGCUAUGAGUGUGUAGAGUCUUGACAUGUAAUUGCUUAUAGAGAAUUGUAGUCGAUGGUAAAUCCAAGCGUCUCUCGACCUAAACAAGGACUAUUUCACUUUAACUCUCUCGAGCUUAAAGCGUGACUAACGGUACGAAUUCUCCAAGAAGUUAGUCCAGGUACGGCACUAGCUUUUUAAUAGGAAAGGGUGUCCUACUACCUUGACAUUAUCUCUUUUCCAGACAAAUAACUUUUCUCUCGAACAAGUCAGAUGUUAGACUGGCGUUGGUCUAUGCGUCUUCUUUUCUAGACAAAUAACCUUUCUCUCGAACAGGUUAGAUGUUAGAAUGGCGUGUUCUUGUGUUUGAACCGCAAAGAAUGUAGAUUUAAGAUGAAGAGAAUAAUGAUAUAAGCAAUAUACUUGUCUUGAACUCACAAACUCAUAGCUAUAGAUAGUAACUCAUUCGGCUUCCAUAACCCCAACUAAGAGAUUUAGUUACCCAUGAAUGCGAAGGAUAUCACGCUUUGCAUGGUGGAUGGCGUGAAUAGUAGGUGUUUGGCGUGUGGUUUUAGUGAUUCCGUAGCAAGUAACGAUUCUCUUGUUGUGGAAUUUAAGAGUAGAAGAAUGAAGAAUUGAGAAUGGGUUGUAGGAAGAUGUCUUAAUUGUAAGGAGAUGAAUGAAUUGUCAGAAUGUCUCCCUUCUUGAAAAUCUCUAACAUGAUAGGGUAUUUAUAAUACUCCUAUCCUACUCCUACUAAACUAAUAAAAUAAAUAACCAAAUCCUAAUAUACUAAUGAAAUCCUUGACCCAAUUGUACUAGGGUAAGGUUACAAAAUUAUAAUCCAAAUAGAAUGAUGAAACACAUAACCUAAUUGCACUAGGUUAAUGUAUUAUGGCAAAAAUCCAGCUUUGUGUCUGUAAGUCCCAAAGUCUUCAGAAAUGCUGUUUUAGCCCGGGACAGAUUUUCCAUGCAGCAGAUUUAGUCCUUUAUGCGUCCAGCUCCUUUCCAUCUCGUUUGUGAGCUUUCUUUUGCGUCAAGUAAGCCAUAAAUUGCUGUAUUUUGCAUCAUUUAUACCUGAAACUUUCCUAAUCACAUUUGUUAGCUCAUUUACAGGAAAAAGGACUAAAAGUGUACGAAAUAGAUAAUUAGUUCUCGAAACUAGGCUAAAAUAUGGGCAAAAUAUAUUGAUAUAGGCGCGUAAUUUCGCCUAUCAUCAACACCCCACACUUAGAGCUUUGUUCGUCCUCGAACAACAUAUCAUGUCCUUCUAAGCAUUGACUUAAGGUUUUUACAGAAACAACACAAAACAUUCUUCAAGACAAGCACAACAAUUAUCAACGAAGAGUAGCUUUCCGAUUAUAAGUAGAAACAAUUUAACCUCAAGCAUAGACUCGUGAUGGUGAUCAACUCGCAUGCAAACGUUUAAGGUACAUAGAAUCAUAUACAACUAUCCAAAACUCAUCAACCAUGUGUGUCUCACAAUAUAGUACCCAUAAUCACUCACAAGUAUAGCAUAUUUUUCAAACAUGGGCAGCAAAGUAUCCUUGCGCUCACUCUCACAAAGAAUUCAUAUGUAGCAGCUAAUGACCAUAGGCUUGCCCUUAAUGUAGUACUCCACUAAAUGUCGGAAUGUUAAGGUUAGGAUCAAGUAGGUCUUUUGAUGGUUGUAAUGUAGGCUAAGGGACGGGUAGGAUCAACUAUUUUGGCCAGAAAUAGUGACUAAGUUCCUAAGCACUUUAAUACAUCACAUUGUAUUAUUGACACUUUUUUGUAGCACCCUUGUUCUCCUCUUUUGUUUUUCAAUUUUAAAGCACAACUCACUUUUCAGCUUUCUUUUCCUUUUUCUUCUCACAACAUACCUCUUAUGAUAGCACUUUCUUUUUCAUAACAUAUUCAAGCACCAUUACAAUUUAAAGCAUCAUACUCAACCAAUUUCCUCUUAUGUUGUCACAUGACUUUUUCACUUUAAAGCACUUAGGAAUUUGGAUCAAAUUACGGUCUUGAAAAAAAAAUGAAUUAGGCUUACAUACAAGGUUGUCAAAGAAAUAGGCUAAAGGCUCAAAAGGGUUUAACUAGGAUGAUGUCCAUGGGUAGGUAAAACUGAAGGUAAACAAAUAUAGGUUGCCAAAGAAAUGCCUAAAUCAUAUCCUAAACUUACACUCCUUAUUUUCGCUUUGCAUACAUACCAGGCAAGUUCUAGCAUCAGCCACAUACAUAGAAUAUACUAUUAUCUCACACACACAAGGCACAUGGUCGACUUGAUUGGUAGCAAUAUAGACUCUCAACCCAACAAGUGAAGGAAUUGAAUCACACACUAUCACAUAAUGAGUCACAACUAGAGCCUAAAUGUCUCAAUAGUCACAAUUGUAAUACAUACUAUUGUUAUAAUCUCAUGCUGCCUAUUAAAAUAAUUUCAUGCGAGGCUAGAAAAAUUUUAACUACUAAAAACUAAAAAAAAAACGUCACACGAAAAAAAUCACAAAAAAAAAUCGGACUCAAAACAAAAUAAAUAAAACAAAAUAAACAAGCAAACAUACAAAUAUAGCAUGCAGAUUCUGCCGACACCCCACACUUAGACUAGACACUGCCCUCAGUGGAAAAUAAAGUCGAAGAACCUGAUUAGUCGGACUCUUCCUCAAUGUCAUACCCCCUUCGUUCGAGUCAUCGUAAGAGUCAUCGUCAGAGUUCUCCUCAGCAUCAGAAUCAGGCAAGCGUCUAUCAUCAUCAGUUGGCACGUCAUCAUCAAGAGGUUCCUCGAAAUAUACUCCCACUCCACACAUCUCCCGGGCAUGUCUGUUCAUUGGGUAGUCGUGGUCCAGCUGUUGGAGCUCUUCAGCAGUUGGAAUACGUCCACCACUCAUCAUAGUGAAUCUCGUCAUGCCAUAGAGAUGACGGAAGAAACUCUCGUCACGAGCAUGUCUCUCCGCAGUGGUAAGGUUGACUCCAUGCGUUGUUUCAGCAUCUUUGACCUUGGUGAGGUCAACCUUCUUUGGGGUAUGUGGGAGUUUGUGGUCAGCUGGUUCCUCCUCUAUAUCCUCCUUCCGCAACAUUGCUGUCAACAAAUUGCCGAAUGUGAAAUAGGACCAUUCACAUUCACAUCAGUCUGGCUUUCCUCAUGGUGGAUCGAAUGAUUGCCCCAAAGUUGAUAGGGACAUUCGUCAUUAAUGAAUAAACCAGGCACACUCUAUCUCUCGAUAUCUUUGUGUAUUGCGUCCCAGGAAUGAGGCAUGAGUUGACAAUGCGCAUCCAGAUUCUUGCUUCCCUAUUUAGUGGAGCAUAGGGGAAUGUGUUGUGACGGCCUGUUUCCUUAUGUCUGCCCCAUCUCGCCAUCGAUCUGCUUCCACAAAGCGUGUGUCUUAUAGCUCUGUAAGGAGGUCUGCUGUACAGCUCUUUGUAUGGUGCAGUGUCGACCGAAGGUAGGCCUAGAAACGAGUUGAUCCAAUCCGCUGUAAGCUGUAACACUUGGCCCCGAAUUUUGACUUCGUUGCCUGUUGUGUUUGGCGACCAGUUGGCAUAAAACUCUCUUGUCAAGUCAAGAUUGCACUCUCCCAUGUCACGGAAGAUGAAAUCCAGCUUCAAAGCCAUAAUCUUAGCCAACAUUUGCGGCUCCUUCUUUGCUAAGGUCUCCUUAUUGAUUAAGUCGACGUGCACAUAUUUCUUUUCUUUGUUGCUGCUGUACCAUGCCUUGGCUUCUUCCUCAAGAACCCAUUUGAUUCCGAACAUUCUGCGUGGUAGGUGUGCGGAAGAUGAUUCGCCUUGGUCUUUUCGGCUUCUCUUUUUGUCCUUGCGGGUUGUGGUAGCCUUCUCCUUGCCUUGCCUUGCUUUCGGUGCCAUUGUACCGCCUUUACCAUACAACGCGACCAAAUCGUCAAUUGAAAUCAAUCUCCUCGUUGCAUACUUCUUACACCUAUAUUUGCUCAAACAAAUGAAAACGAUUAGUACGAUGGGUUGCCUCCCACCAAGCGCCUUAGUUUUGGUCGUGGCACGACUCUUAUUUUUGGAUUUUCAUUUAUCAAAAAGAAAAAAUACUAAAACGACAAAACGAUAAAACAAUAAAACGAAGGGUUGCCUCCCAUCUAGCGCCUUAUUUAUUGUCGUGGCUCGACGUAGUAAUCUCGAGUACUUAGACUUCGUCGAGAUAAGUGAUGGCCAUGUCAUUUAUCGAGUCAAGAGGACCGAUAUAUGGCUUAACACGUUGGCCAUUCACCUUGAAGAUAACACCCUCAUUAUUUUCCAAUUCGACUACUCCAAACGAGUAGACGUGGGUGACUUUAAAUGGACCAGACCACUUUGAUUUUAACUUACCUGGGAAGAGCUUGAAUCUGGAGUUAAAGAGUAGCACCAUGUCACCUUUUUGGAAGUGUCGUCGAACAAUCCGCUGAUCGUGAUACUUCUUCAUCCGCUCCUUGUAUAAAUCUGAUCUUUCAUAAGCAUGGAGACGGAAUUCAUCUAGCUCGUUCAGCUGCUCCAACCUCAGGUUCUUCACAUCAUCCCAAUUCAGAUUCAAGUGCUUCAAUGCCCAUAAUGCCUUGUAUUCAAGCUCGAUGGGUAGAUGACAAGCCUUCCCAUAAACUAGCUGAUAAGGUGACAUGCCAAUGGGUGUCUUGAAUGCAGUCCUAUACGCCCAUAGUGCAUCAUCUAGCUUCCGAGACCAAUCCUUCCGAUUCGCAUUGACCGUCUUGGCAAGGAUUUGCUUGAUCUCCCGAUUGGAAACCUCUACUUGUCCACUAGUUUGGGGAUGAUAAGGCGUAGCUACCUUGUGUUGCUUGACUCCAUACUUGGCCAAUACAGAUUUGAAUAGCUUGUUGCAGAAGUGAGAUCCUCCAUCACUUAUGAUAGUACGAGGUACCCCAAAGCGAGAGAAGAUAUUCUUCUUUAAAAACGCUACAACACGCUUUCCUUCAUUAUCGGCCAAUGCUACAGCUUCAACCCAUUUCGACACAUAAUCCACAGCAACCAAGAUGUACUUCAUUCCAAACGAAUUUACGAAUGGUCCCAUGAAAUCAAUACCCCAUACAUCAAAGAGUUCUACCUCCAGGAUUGUGGACAUGGGCAUUUCAUGGUGUUUUGAAAUAACACCUUGACGUUGGCAUUGGUCACACCUUCUCACAUAGUCGUGUGCAUCUCUGAAUAUUGUAGGCCAAUAAUAACCACUUUGCAAGACUUUUCUUGCUGUUCGAUUACCCGCAUGAUGUCCUCCAACUUGCGAAGUGUGGCAUGCUUCUAAUAUAGUGGGCACUUCGUCAUGGGAUAUACAUCGUCGAAUGAUACCAUCCGCACAUCUUCGAAACAAAUAAGGCUCAUCCCAAUAAUAGUGCUGAACGUCAUGCAUAAACUUCCUCCUCUGGUGGUAAGAUAAAUUUGUAGGUAACACAUUACUCACCACGAAAUUCGCAAAGUCGGCAUACCAUGGUAAGUCUUCUAUUGUUGUCGCUAAUAUCUCCUCGUCAGGGAAUGCAUCGCCAAUCUGAUUUUCUGAUUGCGCCACAUACUCAUUCUCAAGUCUAGAUAGGUGAUCAGCCACUUGGUUCUCGCAACCUCUUCUAUCUUUGACUUCGAAAUCAAACUCUUGCAGCAGCAACACCCAUCGAAUCAGCCUUGGUUUUGCAUCCUUCUUUGUCAUUAGAUACCUAAGAGCUGCAUGGUCUGUAUGAACGAUCACUUUAGUACCUAAUAGGUAGGCGCGGAACUUCUCAAACGCAUACACAACCGCUAAUAGCUCUUGUUCAGUGACGGUGUAGUUCCUUUGGGCUUCAUUGAGGACCUUACUCGCAUAGUAGAUAGGAUGAAAUAAUUUCUCCUUUCUCUGUCCAAGAACAGCACCAACGGCUACACCACUAGCAUCACACAUGACUUCGAACGGGAGCGUCCAAUCUGGUGUUACCAUGAUAGGGGCUUCAACGAGUUUUUCUUUAAGGCAUUCAAAUGCCUUUAAGCAAUCAUCAUUAAAGUCAAACUUCGCAUCUUUCUCCAAUAGCUUGCAUAAUGGACUAGAAAUUUUGGAGAAGUCUUUGAUGAAUCUACGAUAAAACCCAGCAUGGCCAAGAAAACUACGAACUCCCUUCACCGAAAUUGGAGGUGGUAGCUUCUCAAUUACCUCUAUUUUGGCGCGAUCAACCUCUAUUCCUUUUUCGGAGAUCUUGUGCCCAAGAACAAUUCCUUCUUUUACCAUGAAGUGGCACUUCUCCCAAUUCAGCACAAGGUUGAACUCUACACAUCUUUGUAAUGCCAUGCUUAAAUUCACCAAACAUGCUUCGAAAGACUCCCCAACAACUGAAAAGUCGUCCAUAAAUACCUCCAAAGUGUCUUCUACCAUAUCAGAGAAAAUAGACAUCAUACAUCGCUGAAAGGUGGCUGGUGCAUUACAUAACCCGAAUGGCAUACGUUUGAAGGCAAACGUACCAUAUGGGCAUGUAAACGUUGUCUUCUCUUGGUCUUCUGGUGCAAUAAAAAUCUGAUUAUAACCUGAAUAACCAUCAAGAAAGCAAAACCAUCCUUUUCCCGCUAAUCGAUCUAGCAUUUGGUCCAUAAAUGGCAUGGGGAAGUGAUCCUUGAGAGUCCAAGAAUUCAGCUUGCGGUAGUCCAUGCAUACUCUCCAUCCAGUGACGGGCCUGAGUGGAAUAAGCUCAUUCUUUGCAUUCGCAACCACCGUCAUACCUCCUUUCUUGGGAACACAUUGUACUGGGCUUACCCAUGUACUAUCAGAAAUAGGAUACACAACUCCUGCGUCUAACCACUUGAUAAUCUCCUUCUUCACCACCUCUUGCAUUGGUGGGUUUAGACGUCUUUGGUGUUCGAUGGUGGGUGUGCACUUUUCUUGGAGCUGAAUUUUAUGAGUGCAAAUUCCAGGUGGAAUACCAAGGAUAUCCGCAAUGGUCCAUCCAAUAGCUCUAAUAUACUUGCGUAAAAUUGCAAUAAGAGCUGCAACUUGUUGCUCACCUAAAUCGGCUGCCACUAUGACUGGAAGAGUGUUUCCGCUUCCUAAGAAUGCAUACUUCAAAUGGCUUGGCAGCUCCUUUAAUUCUAAUGUGGGUGGUUCUUCAAUAGAUGGCUUAGCUGGUGGUGUGGGUCGAUUCUUGAGAUCAAGAUCCAGCUUCUUAGGAGGAUAGCGAUAUGCUCCUAAUCCCGAUAGAGCACAAAUAUCAUCUUCAGAAAUUUCAGCAUCAUCAUCAUCUUCUUCCAUGAGCAAAACCUCCAAAGGAUCAUCAAGAAUUUGUUCUUCAGCAAGUAACUCAUCCUCGUCAUCAACGACAACAUCAGUCACAGAAAAUACACUUAGAUCUUUGGGUUGCUUCAUUGAUUUGCAAACAUCAAAGCGCACCACUUCAUCAUUUAUUCGGAAUGAAAGUUCAUUAGCUCUCAAAUCUAUGAGCACACUUCCCGUAGCAAGGAAAGGGCGUCCCAAGAUUAUGGGAACCUCUGAAUCUGCUUCGCAAUCCAAGAUGACAAAGUCUGCUGGAAAUAUGAAUGAAGAUACCUUCACCAAGACAUCGCAUAGAAUACCAACCGGUCGUUUUACCGACCUAUCCGCCAUAACAAGCUUCAUAUUAGUUGGUGUAGGAUCUCCCAACCCCAACUUCUUGUAGAUUGAUAAUGGCAUCAAGUUGAUGCUGGCUCCUAAGUCACAUAAUGCUUUAGCAAAGUCCAAAGAUCCGACGGUGCAAGGAAUAGUGAAAGCUCCGGGGUCGGCCUUCUUCUGAACUAUGGAUCGGGUAGCUAUUGCACUACAAUGAUGCACAUCUUCUUUCAGCUCAUAGCUUGCUGCCCUCUUCUUAGUCAAAAGAUCUUUCAUAAACUUCGCAUACCCAGGCAUUUGUUCAAGUGCCUCUACCAAUGGGACAUUAAUAGUCAGCUGCUUCAAGAUGGUCAUGAACUUGCUGAACUUAGUGUCAUCGGCCGCCUUCUUCAGUCUUUGUGGAAAAGGUGGUGGUGGGUAUGGAAGUGUUCUUUCCAUGGCUUUCUUCUCCUCUUGCUUCCGUUUAUUACUUUUUUCAGGCUGCACGUCACUAGGCAACACGUCCUUGACGUUGGAAGUGGAUAUUGCGGCGUCUUCCCUAGUGGCGUCACUAGGUGUGGCGGUUGUGUCUGCUGUUCUGUCAACUAUUUGCUUGCCUUCUGCUGAAGUUUCCAGCACCUUACCACUCCUCGUAGUGAUGGCCAUGCAUGACCCAUCAGUCCUUGGAUUUUGCACCGUAUCGCUAGGCAAGGUGCCGGCUUUUCUUUGGUUGAGUGUUGCUGAAAGUUGACUGAAUUGCUGCUCUAGUUGCUUGAUAGAAGUGGAAUGAGAAUCAACUAAUUGCUUCAUGGAGGCCAAAUCGUCAAUCACCUCCUUAACUCCCGCAUUCGUCGCUUCCACUCCUUUCAAUAACUUAGCCAUCAUGUCUUCCAUAGAAUUAGAUGUGGUGGUAUCACGUCUACCAGGGGGAACGUACAAACCACUGUUUUCAUUAUUUUUCUUCCAACUACCUUGGUCUUUACCUCCAGAUUUGUCAUAAUAGUUCCGACCUUGGUUUCCUUGGGCAUUCCCACGGAAACCCCCCUGAUUGUUCAAGUAGUUGGCCUCCUCUUCUGAAUCAGAUUCGUCUCUUCCUUUUGACGCAAUAGAUUUCACUUUUUCAGUCUUCCCUAAUAGAUGCUUUGUAAGAAGAUCCAUUUGGGUUUUCAUGUGCGCCAUAUCUUGAUCACGUUCUUCUUCUCUCCUUCUUUGAUCUGCAGACAUGCCAAUAGAUAAAGUGGGGCUUGCUACCUCAGAAUCCCUGGUAUGCCAAGCUCUACUUUGUUUCGUCAUACGAUCUAGCAUGUUGCUUGCUUGACCAAAGGUGAGGUCCAUAAAAGAACCUCCAGCUGCGUUGUCCACCACUGGUUUAGUUACUGAAUUCAAGGCUCUAUAUAAGAUCUCCAUGAGGUGAACAUUAGUCAUGUGAUGGUUUGGGCAUCUCGCUAGCUUUGUCUUGAACCUCUCCCAUGUUUCGUGAAGAGCUUCAGAGGGAAGCUGACGAAAGUUGCUGAUUUCAUCUCUCAAUUGAGCCCUCUUGGAUGGCGGAAAGAAUCUUUCUAGGAAAGCGUCUCUCAAUUGCCUCCAAUUUGUAAUAGAAUCAGGAGUCAGCCCAUUCAACCAUAAUGUUGCCUCCCCAGACAGAGACAAUGGAAAUAGACGUAAUCGAAUAGCAUUCUGACCAACUCCAGGAUUGUCAAAAGACUUGCAUGUAGAAAUAAAGUUGAUGAGAUGCAUAUUCGGAUCAUCGCCUGCUAGUCCACCAAAUAAUCCCUUGAGUUGCAAUAACUGAAUCAUGGUGCUAGUGAUGUUGAACUUGGCUCCGGGCGCUAAUGGUGGUGGAAUUAUAGCUCCAGUGGCUCCGGCACCAUCAAGAUCAUCAUCAUCAUCGUCGAAAGCUGGUUGCAAAGGUUGGCGAUCAUAUCUGUACCGAGCUUGUCGACCUCGUCUGUUGGUAGGUGUUGCCAUUUCAGCGCCAUGCCUUGGGUUGAUCAACUCGUCAUCUCCUAAAUCUUCAUCGUCAGGAUUUGUUGCUCGUCCAGGAUUAUCAAUGUUUUGUUGUUGGACUUGAGCAGCGGCAAGAGCAGCUAAUCUUGCUUGCUCAUGUUGAGCAGCCAUCCUGUCGAUUUCCGCUUGUGCUUCCAUUCUUCUGAUUCGUUGUGGUUCCGGAUUGAUUGGUAAUAACGGUUGACCAGAACUUCUAGUAUGGGGCAUGCACUAAAAGAAAAACCUGCAAUAAACAAAAACAAAAACUAAACGUAAAAGUACGAGAAUCUUUGACCAAAGGGUCUAGUAAUUUUCACGAACUUGAUUGACACUCGUAUUCCCCGGCAACGGCGCCAAUUUUUGAUAACGCUCAAUCUACAGCUCUCGUGGGAGUGUAAAGCGGUCGUUAGCAAAUAUAGAACCCAACCUGGGUUGGGUAUCGAUCCCACAGAGAAUAGCUUGGCCAACAAGCAAGAAAAAUUACUAGACUUUUAGUGCAAGUCUCGUAGGAAAGGGGGGAUUGUAGUAUGUAACCAAAACAAGAAUGUAAGAACUGAAAAUAGCAAAAUAAAGAGAGAUUGUCACGUGUGUUGUAAACAAUGAGAAUUGAGGCGUUGGGGUUAUGUCCACCUUCUGAGGUAUACGUCUCUAUUGGCUAUGAGUGUGUAGAGUCUUGACAUGUAAUUGCUUAUAGAGAAUUGUAGUCGAUGGUAAAUCCAAGCGUCUCUCGACCUAAACAAGGACUAUUUCACUUUAACUCUCUCGAGCUUAAAGCGUGACUAACGGUACGAAUUCUCCAAGAAGUUAGUCCAGGUACGGCACUAGCUUUUUAAUAGGAAAGGGUGUCCUACUACCUUGACAUUAUCUCUUUUCCAGACAAAUAACUUUUCUCUCGAACAAGUCAGAUGUUAGACUGGCGUUGGUCUAUGCGUCUUCUUUUCUAGACAAAUAACCUUUCUCUCGAACAGGUUAGAUGUUAGAAUGGCGUGUUCUUGUGUUUGAACCGCAAAGAAUGUAGAUUUAAGAUGAAGAGAAUAAUGAUAUAAGCAAUAUACUUGUCUUGAACUCACAAACUCAUAGCUAUAGAUAGUAACUCAUUCGGCUUCCAUAACCCCAACUAAGAGAUUUAGUUACCCAUGAAUGCGAAGGAUAUCACGUUUUGCAUGGUGGAUGGCGUGAAUAGUAGGUGUUUGGCGUGUGGUUUUAGUGAUUCCGUAGCAAGUAACAAUUCUCUUGUUGUGGAAUUUAAGAGUAGAAGAAUGAAGAAUUGAGAAUGGGUUGUAGGAAGAUGUCUUAAUUGUAAGGAGAUGAAUGAAUUGUCAGAAUGUCUCCCUUCUUGAAAAUCUCUAACAUGAUAGGGUAUUUAUAAUACUCCUAUCCUACUCCUACUAAACUAAUAAAAUAAAUAACCAAAUCCUAAUAUACUAAUGAAAUCCUUGACCCAAUUGUACUAGGGUAAGGUUACAAAAUUAUAAUCCAAAUAGAAUGAUGAAACACAUAACCUAAUUGCACUAGGUUAAUGUAUUAUGGCAAAAAUCCAGCUUUGUGUCUGUAAGUCCCAAAGUCUUCAGAAAUGCUGUUUUAGCCCGGGACAGAUUUUCCAUGCAGCAGAUUUAGUCCUUUAUGCGUCCAGCUCCUUUCCAUCUCGUUUGUGAGCUUUCUUUUGCGUCAAGUAAGCCAUAAAUUGCUGUAUUUUGCAUCAUUUAUACCUGAAACUUUCCUAAUCACAUUUGUUAGCUCAUUUACAGGAAAAAGGACUAAAAGUGUACGAAAUAGAUAAUUAGUUCUCGAAACUAGGCUAAAAUAUGGGCAAAAUAUAUUGAUAUAGGCGCGUAAUUUCGCCUAUCAUCAAUCGUCCUUCCAACCAUCAUCGUCCCCUUCAUUUUGUUUGUUCAAACUUUGACAUGACACAAUAUUGGCAGGUUUUAAGCUACUGUUACUGUAAUGGAAAAACAAACUAAGUUAGAUAAUAAGAAAAUAACAAAACAUAUGACUAGGAGCAUUUUAGAAUUAAUAUAGUUUUCCAAAUAAAUGAAGGCCUUUUCAUUGAAAUUUAAGAAAUAAUUACAACACCAUAGCUUGUGACUUGCACAAAUACAAGCCCACGCAUUUUUUGAAAGCAGUAAGAUAUGAAAAUAAAGUUUUGAGAUAUAAAAGGUGGAUCAUGGGGCCUCCUCCAGAUCAUCACUGAUUUCAAAACUAUUAGUAAUUGCCCUUUCAUCUACCACGACGGGCGACGGGUUAUAAGUGGAGUGGAGGUCCAAUUUUGCAAAGUCUUCCCUGGCACAAUCUGCUUUACCCCACUGGACUCUAGGAGAUCUUCUGGUACAACAUUGCAUCCUUUAAACAAAUCUCCUAUCCCAUCCCCAAGACCAUCAUCAUCUGACAUCUCUCGUACGAGAAAUGACUAGAACAGGAGUGGCAAGGGCCUAAACAGACUCUUUUCUGGAUCAUCCUCAACCCUAUCUUUUCUGGUAGGCUUAUACCCUAACCCAUUCUUAGAGCUUCUCUCUGGGAUCAUAAUAGGCUCGAUAAUUCCUUGUAAAUUCUUGUCCAAGCCUCGAUCAGGUUCGAACCCAUUUCUUAACAUCAUAGUUGCAAUUAUUUUGUAGACAGAAAGCAUUGAUAUUUUGGGUGUCAAAUCUCUUUCCACAGUAUUUACAAUUUCAACUGUAUAUAAACUGCUACUUUUUGGAACAUCUUCAAUCACCGGCAUAUAACCAUUGGGAUGGUCCGCUCUACUUCCUUCUCCUUGGAUGACUACUUCAUUAUCUUUCCAAAUAAACUUCAAUAAUUAAUGAAGGGGUGAUGAAAUUGCCUUUGCCCUGUGUAUCCAUGGUCUUCCCAAAAGCAGGUUGUAGCUAGGAUGUAUAUCCAUAACAUUAAACUUAGUCUUAAACUCAGCAGGACCUAUUUGGAUGUGCAAAUCAAUCUCUCCUAUGGUAUCUCUCUGCCCUCCAUCGAAUGCUCUCACAUUUACGUGGCUUUGACAAAUUUUCCCCAGAUCAUAGCCCAUUUGGACCAGUGUUGAGAGGGGACAAAUAUUUACACCAGAUCCAUCGUCUAUUAAUACCUGAUUAAUUGCAUAAUCUCGAUAAAUGAUGGUGACAUGCAUGGCUUUAUUGUGCAUUGCUCCUUCAAACGGCAACUCUUCAUCACUGAAUGAUAUGCGAUGGUUCUCCACAACGUUCCCUAUCAUCACAGCCAAAUUCUCAACGCUCGUUCCUACGGGAACAUACGCUUCCUCUAAGACCUUCGACAAAGCCUGUCGGUGGUGUUGCGAGCACAAUAAUAGUGCCAAGAUAGAGAUUUGGGCUGGCAUUUUCUCCAAGUGUUUGAAAAUUGAGUAAUCCUUUGGUUGCAUAUGCCUCUAAAACUCCUCAGCCUCUCCUUCAGUGAUUGGCCUUUUCUGUGAAUCUUUCUUGUUGGUCAAUUCCUCAGGGAUGGAACAUCGUCCUGAUUGCGUCAUCCCCUGGGCAACGGCGGUUUGCACAAUAAAUUUCUUCUUUGGAGAGGGAGCAUACACUUGAGUCUAUGCAUUCCUCACUAUAAAUGGGGCUUUCUCGCUGAUACUUAAGUCAGCCAUAGCUUUCUCUAUCUUUCUUACCUCUUCUGCCCUUUUGCACUUUUUGGAGUUCACCUGAGUAAUGGUCUUGCCAGAUACCCAUUCUCCUUUUAUUUCAAUCAUGUUAACUGUAGAUCCCCAUGGUUGGGCAGUGGAUUACAGCUAACAUUUAGAGUAGGUGCCUGGAGCGUGAUGACCUUUUGAUCAAUCAGAUCUUGGAUUCUGUGUUUCAAGAUAAGAUAGUCCUCAGUACUAUGCCCUACUACCCCUGAAUGAUAGGAACAAUUUUGAUCAGGGUGAUAAAAUCGAGAGCUAGGAUUGACAGGCUUUGGCUGUACUAGUUGCAAAUGACCAGUAUUCUUCAAUUUUUCAAACAAUUAGGUGUGACUUUCAGCUAGUGGGGUGAAGUUUUGGGGAGGUUUCUUUUCGUGGUUUGGACGUUGGGGGUUAUACAGGCUUAGGUUUGUAGGAGGGGGUACUUGGUGGUAAUUUGGAGGUGUUUGGAAAUUUGUUCGGCUAUUUGGGGGAGUAGUUUGGAAAUGAGACUGAUAAUUUGGAGGUGGAACUGGGUAUUGGGAAAGAUAAUUAGCUGUGGAGCUUGGUAUGAUGGUGGCACGUUUGGGAGUGGAGUUUGGUAUUAGGGGUGGACGUAGAAUGUGUGCGAAAGAUUAGGUGAUGGCGGGGAAGAUAAAACAUUUCUAGAGUUGAACCGCUGUUUCAAUUUUAUAACAGAAUUGGUAGAAACCCCACCUACCUCUUCCUUCUUCUUCUUAGAAAACAUGGCAAUUCCAAAUGAUGUUGGGGUUUUGGUAAUUUUUCCUGUCCGAAUACCUUCCUCUAAUGAUUCUCCUAUUUUUACCAAAUCUUCAAAGGUUGCUUUGACAGCGGACACCAUCCUAGUAUAAUAUUCUCCUUCUUGAGCGCGAGAGAACACGGAUACCAUUUCCUCCUCAGGCAUGGGGGGCUGCACUUUGGCAGCUUCUUUUCUUCAAUGAAAAGCAUAAUCUCAAAAACUCUCAAUGCUCUUUUGUUUAAUCCAAUCUAGUGAAUACUAAUCAGGGACUAUUUCAAUGUUAACUGCGAACCGGUCAAGGAAACUCUUGGCCAAUGUCUUCCAACCAGUCUACUUUUUCAGCUCCUGAGACAUGAACCACUCCAAGGCUUCACCAUUCAAACUUCGACUGAAUAUGCGCAUUAAUAACGCCUCAUUUUUCCCUAUCCCUACUAAUUAUUUGCAGUACCUUCUUAGAUAGGCCAUUAGAUUUUUGGUACCGUCAAACAUCUCAAACUUAGGGACCUUGUAUCCUUCUGGUAGGUCUACUCCUGGGUGAACACACAAAUCGUCAUAUCCCAAACUGUCGUGGUCCUUGGCCCUGUGAGACUCUUUGAUCCUCAUGAUCUUUUCUUCCAUGACUAGUAAAUUCCUUUCAUGCUGGGCCCUCCUUCCUUCUUCUUCUCCUCGUAAUGGUCCAUCUUGGGGUUAGAAAAGGGUUCAUAAAUAUCAGGGGAUAUCAUGGCUUAAGGGGGAUUUGGAAGGAAGGCUUGAUUUUGCAGAUGGAGGGAAUUUGGUUGGUAAGUGGGGAGAACAUUUUGGAAAUUGGGAAGAUUAUGUGGGCCUUGUAAGUAGUUUGGCGGUAGGUUUGCCGUAUUUUGUUGAUUUGGGAGUAAAUCUUGCGGAUUUGGGAAUGCAUUUUGUUGAUUUGAGAAUGUGUUUUGAGGGUUUGGCAAUGUAUUCGAAGACGGGUUCUGUGGGGUUGCGGAUGGAUUUUAUGGAUGGUAGGCGUCUAGAUUAUUUUCACGAUUAGUGUUUUGGACAAAUGGAGGAGCAGAUUCGUAUAAUACAUUAGUUGGUUGGUCCUUGAGAAUAGGGAUACUGAGGGGAGGGAUUUGGAGUGGAGUCCCGUGUUCCCCGGGAGCAGGGGCAUUGACGGUGAUGGCCAAGUUAGCCAAUUCUUGAGUACGAUUUAUUUCCUCCUGAAGCAAUUCUAAUUUUCUUGCAGGUUCCGCAAUCAUCUCAUUCUAUUUCGCUAUCACAUUAUCCUGGAUAGUCAGUGCCCUUUCUUCGUCAUUUCUUGUCAUUUUUGAAUGAUGGUCUGAGGAUGGGAUUUUCUGUGCUUUCGAUCGGGUGAAGUAGGGAUGUUCUACCAGUUUAUCAACACAGAGUAAUUUUUGUUAUCUGCAAAGAAAAACAACUCAAAGGCAAAUGUGUUAGUUUCCGUAUGUGAUAAGUAAUGCAAAAUAUUUGACAGGAAAUGAUCACACAGAGUUGUUCGAGUCAUAGCCAAAUUCAUCCGUAGGUCAUAGUGGAUAAACUUGACUUUGAUCUCAACCAAUGCAUAUAAGCACAUAAAAUAGUUAUAUCACACAAGACAUUAAAAUAACGCGUAUCCUAAUUGGGGUGACCCUUUUUGAGCCAAGGGUUCAGGCCUAACAAUUUUUUGAAGAAAAUAUAUGCUUCCUCAAAGUCAAUCCAUUAACCCCCAACUCAUAUAGACACAAAAAGGGCAUAAAUGCCUACAAAAUAUAGUGAAACAGGGAUACAAUUUUUAGGGAAAAGGGGAAAUAACAUGCAAGAAGACAAGUUCCCAUGCAGGGGAGAAUAGAAAAGCUAGCUACUGGAGGCUUCUUCGUCUACUUUUUCCUUCUUUGCCUUGUUUACCUCAUGUGCUAUUUGAUACCUAUUGAUGAUAAGGUGACUUGCGCAUAAUUGUGCCUUGCAGUCGUAAGUCAUUUCUCCUAUGUUGUCGAGUUGGGAAGCCAUGCUAUCGUCCAAAUCGAUUAGGCAUUGCCUGGUAUUAUCAACAUCUUGCCUAGCUCUUUUCAACUCUUCCCUCAAUGUAUGUAUGGUCAAAGCGUCUUCUAUGUGCAUCUAUCGGUGUGCAAUUUUACUUUUCUGGAACUCAUCUUGUAGCCUGUGAAGCCAAAUUUGAUGCUCGAAUUCUACAUCCACAACCCGAGUGGGCACAUUUGGUCCCGGAUUCAAUGCUCCGAUGAGGCUCUUUUUCAACCACUCCUUGUAAGUGUCGCUGACUCCAGGUUCAUACCCUAUACGAAAAGAGACUUCUACCCACUUUUUCCUUCUCCAUCCAUUUAUCAUGUAGUCUUUGAGCGAAGGCGUACUUUCAUCAUAUUCGGUGAAGAAUUUGAGCAUAGAAUUGAUUUGAGGCAUCUCCUGCUUGAUCUCGAAUUGCCUAAAAACUCUGCCAGGAUUGUAGGGGAGGGUUCCCUUGAGACCCGGGAGCACUAAAAAAGGCCAUUCGCCCCCUCGAAUGAUGUAUUUCCCUGAACGAAGAUAGUUAAGGGACCAUUGGACAUCGCCAUAUCUUAAUUCUCCAAAAGUCUUAAACCAAAAUUCGUGGGAUGCUUCCCUUUUGAACUUGUGUAAAAAUAACCACAUGUCGUACGAUUCUAGCAAAUUUCUCUUUGUUUUGUGAUCAGGUUGUGCCAUUCUAGGAUUUUUCACCAAAUGCAUCAUCAUCCACCAUUGUAAUAUAAGGUUGCAGCCUUGAAAGAAACGAUUCUCAACUUGACAUCUUCCCAAAGUGUGAUAUAUGUCGGCGACAAUCAUGGGGGAUAAGUUGUGAAAUACUUUUUUAGAAUUGUAUUCCAUUCCAAAGAAGAGUGCAUGGGUCACUGUGACAACCCUUGGAUGAAUUGUGCCAUUUUCCCCUUGCGGGAACACCAUGGUUCCAAGUAGGCCUACCGCGAAUUCAAAAGCUCUCGUUUCCUUCCAUUUUGCUUCCGACUCCAAUUUAUGCCCAAAUUUGUGAAAAGAGUUGAAUCUUCCGAACCGAUAGUACAACUCACGAAAAGUGAUAUUUGAUCCAUCCCGUUCUCCUAUCCAGGUGUCGAUAUCAGUUAAAAAUGAUUCCUUGAUCUUUUGACGAUCCCACACAUCCGGGACUAAAAUAUGCUUAUCUGGUGUCUCCUUUCUCUUAAAACACAUUUCCAUACUCUCGUAGAAAAUUAAUACCUCUUCAAUGGUGGGUUCAAUUCAACAUCCCCGAAGUGAAAUACCAUGUUCUGAUCAUCCCAAAAAGUUGUUAGUACAUGGAUCAUUUCGGGCCAAACGUCCAUCUCAAUCAAAGAAGGAAGAUGCCCAAUGUGUGUUCUAACAAUCUUUCUGUCUUCUUUACCCAUGUAAUCCCACCAUAGUUUUAGGUAAUCGUUAGGUUUGGUAACCAUCUUGAACUUUUCACGAGAAUGCAAUUGAGCCAUAUCUACAUAAAAGAAGACAAAAUAAGCCUUUCCCCGACCCCAAAGGAUAAUGGAUUGAAUUUAGACAAGCAUAUAUUUCUUCAACACAUAAGCAUAGUUCGUCUGUGAUUGACUCGGGGUCAAAUAGACAUAGGGCAGGUUUUCUAAUGGGCCGAAUACCCCGCUCGGAUAUUGGGUUAUCCUACACACAUGCCUAAAAUAAGGUUUUGGUUUUGUUCUAUCCUCGGUGUCUAGAGGGGACUUGGACACUAGUUCUCAAGUGGACAAUUUAAGUUUGAAAAUAUGAACAGCGUCAGACGACUCACGUGCUGAUAAGCUGUUCGUAUUUCCAACACAUUUUGGAAUUGAACAACAAGGAUCGGGACAUCCACGAAACCCCAAAACAGUUUAUAAAAUGCAGAAAUGCCAUGAGAAGCGAUAAUUAAACUUUACAUAAUCGAAACACAUAAACACAUAAACAGUUAAUCAAAGACGAAAUAAAACAUUUGGUUAGAACCUAGUUAGAUCCUCAGCAGAGUCGCUAUUUUUGUUUUGCGGAGAAAUUUUGACUCUUUGAAGAUAGAGUCGCCACUUAAUUUUAAAAAGGAAUUAACAAACCUUAAACACUUUAAACGAUCCAAAAUAGACAAAUCGCUCAAGUUUUGAAGAUUCUGAGUAAGUGGUUCUUAUUGACGUUUUAGGAAGGUGUUAGGCACCUAAAACGUCCGCUAACUUGCGGUUAUCCGGACUGUUUGAAAAUGUCUUUUGAUUGACUUCAAAAAAGAUUAAUUUUACUGAAAAGUAGUUAAUUACGAAAAGGUUUUGCAAAAUCAAAAUUUUAGCGACUUAGUUAGGGGAAUCAACUAGAUUCGUUAGAAACACGUCAAACAAAUAAGCAAAAGGAAAAAGGGUUUUAAGCCCAAACCGUCGACCCUAUCCUAAUCUAGUUUUCAAGCUUUCGGCUUGAGUAUCGCUCCACCUGUAUUAAGUAAAACUUUGGCUUCGAGGCCUAAAUGAAUAAAUAAAAUAAAUAACUAAAUAAAUAAAGAAAACAAUACCAAGAGAAUAAAUAAAAUGGAAACCAAGACUUUUAAGUCUCUUGAACGCUUCAAUGAUGGGAUUUUAACCCAUUAUUUUAUUUCGGCUCUUCAUAUCCAAAUGCCAUGUAGCCGACUUUAGAUUUUUCUUUCGGACUUGACUUGAUGAGAAGCGCCUUAAUGGCCCAUUAUAAAACAACGCAAGGUGAAAAAGUCCGUUUGGACUCCAAGGUGGUGUCAUGAGAAACAAGAAAAAUAAAGAAUAUUAAUUCAUGUCCACCAAAAGAAAAAAAAAAGAAAAGGAAAAGGAAGUAAGUCAAUACUUGAUCAUCUGAAGUAAGUUAAUACAUGGUCAAUCAAAGCAUGAAAAGCAAUGUGGAGAAAAUUAAUUCAUGGUUAACUAAAGAGGCAACGUUAUAUGAAUCCUAAUAAACAAUCGGAAACUAUUGGAAAUACAAGACAUGUUUAGAUUAAUUAAUCAAAGAAAGACCAUAUGCAAUUUAAAUGUGGAUUUCGCACAUUUAAGGAAACGAAAGAAAGCAUAUUUGAAAAAAAAAAAACUUUCUAACUUGGACUAAUCAAUUAAGCAUAUGAAAUACAGUAAAAUCAAAUUCAAUGAGACCAACUAAAAGCAAAGGGAAUGGAUAUUUGGGUGAAAUUAAUUUGGUCCCCGAAUAAAGACCCGUGUUUGGCAGUACAUUCAUGCACUGGGUAAGUCAAAACGAAAUACAUCGAAUGACUUGACACAUUCAACGGAUUCGAGUAUGUUUGAUAAUACGAUGCGAAAGAAAGAAAAAAAAAUAAAAAUAAAAAAUAUCAUAGGAAAGCCUUAAAUUAAAAGUAGUGAACCCAAUACUUAACCAGAUAAUUCUCAUACUAACACAACAAGUCAAAUCCUCUAAGUUGAAAUAGUAAGCUUAUACUUGCAAUAUUUAAAAUCAAAUGGAGGACUGAGAGGAGGAUUUGAUUUGUGGCUACUGAAAAUGCUUUUUUUUUUUUGGCACAAUACUACUAAUAGAAUUUUUGAAGGAAAACUUCUUUUGUUGUAAAAGAAUAGUCAUUCUACUCAUAAUAUUUAAGAGACAUUCCGGGUCAAUUACCUAAUGUGCUCAUAUUCCAAAAGCCAAAAUAUCCGUCAUACUUUAGUAAAGAGAAUAACACACAUAACUCACCAAGAUAUAUGUAUAACUCAUAACGUGCCAUAUGCCUUUCUAUUUAAAACUCCCAAUUUCGUUGUAAAACACGUAACAAAAGAAAUUGUCUUGAUGAACGACUAAUAAUUAGUACAACAUUAUUCGAGCCAUCAAGUCAUUCUCUCAUUUACACAAAAUCAGUCAACAAAUUUCCCUCAAGAUACUAAUGAAUGUUGUCAAUUAAGGCUUAAUUCCAUAUUCAGAUCAAACGAAAUGUAUAUGUAUGAAAGAACAACCUUUCAAAUAAAACCAUAAUUUGCACAGACGGUGUAUUAAACAAGUUUACAUAGAGAAAAAGAGAAACUCGUGAAACCACAAGUAAAACAAACUAAUAAGAAAAGUUUCUUUAAGCAAACGCCAAAUUGAAAAUACUAUAGCCUUCUAUGGCUCCUACAGCACAUAAUCCCAGCAUACAACACAAUAAUUGAAAUCAUACUACGACUACCAUGAUUGCAUCGUGACAGUAAAAAUGAAAGAGAAUAGAAGACUAACCCGAUGUUGGGCAGCAAAACGGGACUCGAGAUAUCAGUAAAAUUGUCACCACGGGGAGCUAAUAUUGCCGACUCGGGAAUUCCCAAUCAAUCGACUAGCUUCCCAGAAAAGAAUGAACGAGAGAAUUUUUGCGAAAUAAACUUUUACUUUCAGAAUUUCCUAAAAUUUAAACCUAGCUUUGGAAAUAGUAUCCCCAAAAGAAGCCUCCCAAUUUUCGAACCAUCCUUUCAAACUAGCCUAUAAAUUUCUCCUUUAGUUUCUUUCAAAACCUCUGAAUCUUCGACCUAAACUUUGAACUAAAAUACUCAUUCCUUUCUCUCAGACCUCAAAAAUUCAAACCACAAAAAUGACGCAGAAGAAAACCCUUCCCUUUUCAAACCUCCCCCCAUUUUCGACUAAUUUAUUUAUUUAUUUUUCUAAGAGCCUAAAAUGAGAAAAUCCUCUUUCAGAAGAGAAAGAAGACCACUAAAAUAGAGGCGCCAGGAUCCUUUAUAUAGAAGAAAGGGUUGGGGCAUUUUUGAAAUUCGAAAGAAGGAAUUUUGAAUUCCAAUUCCAAAAUCUCCCCCCCCCCCCCAUAACCUGUUUUCAUCCAUCAAUUGUACCCUUUUUUGUUGUUUCUCAUGAAAUCCAAAAAUGGAGUAGCCAAUAGAAAGCACUUCUUCCCAAGAACCAAUGAGAAAUCUCCACCAACGUACGAAUUCGUACCAUGGUACCCAAGAUUCAUGGGAUUUGAACGUUGGGGUGAGCCAACUCACCCAUUUCGAGAAGCUUUCUCAAAUUUCCAUGGUAAACAC
rnacentral:lncRNA from 1 species